GGGUGAGACGCGCGGUCACGUCGUUCGUGGCCAAACAACGAACCCCCGGCGUGAAUUGCGCCAAGGAACCAUAUAACGAAGAAGAGCACGUCGGCAGUUGCCGCCCCGUUCGCGGUGUGCGUGUGUACAGCCUCGUGACUCCUUUCUUGUGAAAAUUUAAAACGACUCUCGGCAACGGAUAUCUCGGCUCUCGCAUCGAUGAAGAACGUAGCGAAAUGCGAUACUUGGUGUGAAUUGCAGAAUCCCGUGAACCAUCGAGUCUUUGAACGCAAGUUGCGCCCCAAGCCAUUAGGCCGAGGGCACGCCUGCCUGGGUGUCACGCAUCGUCGCCCCCUCCACCCUUUAGCCCGACAAAAGGCUAAGGGCGUUGAUGGGACGGAAAAUGGCCUCCCGUAUGCUCCCAGCUUGCGGUUGGCCCAAACGCGAGUCCUCGGCAACGAAUGGCGCCGUGAUGAUCGGUGGUAAUGCUCCUAGCGUGCCUUGUCUCCAGUCGCGCGCGCCCGUUGUCCGUGCGGACCCCCUCGGACCCUUUUGUGCAUCGCUCGAACGAUGCUCGCAUCGCGACCCCAGGUCAGG
rnacentral:misc_RNA from 1 species